rnacentral:lncRNA from 10 species
CAUGGGAUGUUGUUUUCAUUUGAUAGGGUGGAGGGUGGGAGAAGAGAGAGGAGCAGAAAAAAUAACUAUUAGAUACUAGGCUUAGUACCUGGGUGAUGAAAUAAUCUUUAUAACCAGCCCCAUGGCACAAGGAUGUAGAUGUUGCCCCCACAGGCUGUCAGCAAACACAGUUAAAUCAGUCUACGAUCUGGUGAAGGAGAUGCAUUUAAUGGACACAAAUCAUCUUUUAAAGUCGAAUUCUCUGUAACUUGUCUCAAUUUCCUUUCAUCUGUUAUGAUCCUCAUUUUUUUCCCAGCAAAUGAAUUCUCUAUUUGCUAUGGAG